UGCUUAUGAUGAUUAAACUUGAUCACCAUCUUUCGGCUGAUAAUUGUUUGAUGUACUAUUCAUAACUGAUAGCU